GCAAGAAGUAAAAAAUGUUGCAUUGGAUUGAUUUAAGGGAUGUGAGUCUUCCACACUCGCUUCUUGUUCUUCUGCUAUGGCUUCUCUUUCUCUCUCCUUUUCUUCUUCCAUUGUUCCCUCUUCAAUUCCCCACCACAAAUCCACCAAAAUUCACACUCAAGACUCCACUUUUAGGGUUACCUGCUUCGCCAUUUCCUCUCCCCCUUCCAAACCCGUUGUCAAAAAGCGACACUGGAAAAAAGGGGAGUUUCCUGGUACUUCCGAAACAUCGUUAGACGAUAGUACGAGGAGGAGCCCCAUCAAGAACAUCAAGAAGAAGUUGGAGAAAAAGAACAGUGCGAAGGCAUGGGUCAACACUGUCACCGAAGCCUUAUCUGAACAAAUCGACAAGAAGCAGUGGCUUCAAGCCCUUCAGGUAUUUGAUAUGCUUAGGGAACAAACUUUCUACAAACCUAAAGAAGGGGCGUAUAUGAAACUCAUUGUGCUGCUUGGAAAAUCUGGUCAACCCCACCGUGCCCACCAACUUUUCACCACAAUGAUUGAAGAAGGUUUAGAACCUACUCCUUAUCUGUACACAGCAUUGCUUGCUGCGUAUUGCAGGAGCAACCUCAUUGAUGAAGCUUUUUCGGUUCUUAAUGAGAUGAAGAGGCUUCCUCUUUGCCAGCCUGAUGUUUUCACUUACAGUACCUUGAUCAAAGUUUGUGUUGAUGCUUUCAAAUUUGAUUUGGUUGAAUUAUUGUAUGAAGAAAUGGCUGAAAGGGCCAUCACACCAAACACAGUGACACAGAACAUCGUUUUGGGUGGUUAUGGUAAGGCGGGGAAGUUUGAUCAAAUGGAAAAAGUGCUUUCCAGCAUGCUGGAGAGCAUUACCUGCAAGCCUGAUGUUUGGACAAUGAACACCAUCAUCAGUGUCUUUGGUAACAUGGGUCAGAUUGAUAUGAUGGAGAAAUGGUAUGAAAAAUUCCGUAAUUUUGGGAUAGAACCUGAAACGCGCACUUUUAACAUUUUGAUUGGUGCCUAUGGGAAGAAAAAAAUGUAUGACAAAAUGUCAUCUGUCAUGGAGUACAUGCGCAAGUUGCAAUUUCCAUGGACAACCUCGACUUAUAACAAUGUGAUUGAGGCAUUUGCCGAUGCUGGUGAUGUGAGGCACAUGGAGUGUACAUUUGAUCAAAUGCGUGCUGAGGGUAUGAAAGCAGAUACCAAAACUUUCUGUUGCCUUAUCAAUGGUUAUGCAAAUGCAGGUUACUUUCAUAAAGUAAUUAGCAGUGUUCAAUUGGCUGGAAAAUUUGAGAUACCUGAAAAUAUUGCCUUUUAUAACGCAGUCUUAUCUGCAUGUGCAAAGGCAGAUGAUUUGAUGGAAAUGGAAAGAGUUUUUAAGCGUAUGAAAGAUAACCAAUGUCAACCGGACGAAACAACAUACAUGAUCAUGAUUGAAGCAUAUAGAAAAGACGGUAUGAAUGACAAAAUAUACUAUUUGGAGCAGGAAAAGCAGACAAUGAUAACUGACAAUAAAAUAGUGAGCCAUUAUGAGGAUGGGAUCUUUAGUUCAGACAGCUAAUGCAUCUGUAUUCCAUACUUAUUUUAUGGGAGCAGCUGCUUAUUUUUGUUUUGAAAUGGAAGAAGAGACCAGUUGCUGAUUUACGCAAUCAAGCUUCAGAUGUCAUGGUUUCUUUUAUUGGUAAAUACUUGUGUCACAACCCAUAAAUGAAGUAAAUCGGGGGUUGUCAUGAUGGGGAUCAAGCAGUAAGCAUCGGGCAUCGGGCCGAAAGAAAGGAUUGUCCAAGAAGCAGCCACAAAGUCCAAAGAGUGGAUUUUUUACAAAAGAAAAGGGAAAAAAUGAGCUGGCAGAAAAAUUAAUUAUAGAGAGAGAAUAGAAUCCUUUUAUUAAGGAGUACAAGAGUAUGGGGAAGAGGGAGCAAGAUUGACUUAUUAUGGUUGGAUCCAGUAGUUGUUACACUACUCUGUAAGGAGCUAUUGCUCUGGGGUAUUAGAAGGAAGUAUAAUUUUUAGUGCAUGUUCUUUUUUUGUUGAUUUCAGGGAUAAAUAAUACUAUUCACGUAUCUAUUCUACU